GAGAGUCGGAGGGAGUUCACCUGGAGCGGCGAAAUCGGCCGGGGAAGGGCAGCGCCUGACGUCCGAGGGCUGCAGUGGAAAAUCUUUAUAUUUAAUACCUUAAAUGGCAACUAUUGAAAGGAAGUAAAAUCAUGGCAGCAGAUGAUGACAAUGGUGAUGGAACAAGUUUAUUUGAUGUCUUUUCAGCUUCUCCUCUUAAAAAUAAUGAUGAAGGUUCAUUGGAUAUAUAUGCUGGGUUGGACAGUGCUGUUUCUGACAGUACUUCUAAAUCCUGUGUACCAUCCAGAAAUUGUCUGGAUUUAUAUGAAGAGAUCCUGACUGAAGAAGGAACUGCAAAGGAGGCAACAUAUAAUGAUUUACAGGUACAAUAUGGAAAAUGUCAGCUGCAAAUGAAAGAGCUGAUGAAAAAGUUUAAGGAAAUACAGACACAGAAUUUCAGCUUAAAAAAUGAAAACCAGUCUCUUAAGAAGAAUAUUUCAGCACUUAUCAAAACUGCCAGAGUGGAAAUAAACCGCAAGGAUGAAGAAAUAAAUAAUCUUCACCAGAGAUUGUCUGAGUUUCCACAUUUUCGAAAUAAUCAUAAAACUACAAGGACAUCAGAUACAGUUAAAACAAAAGAUUUUAAGUCUAGAUCUCCCCAUUUGGAAGACUGUUCAAAGACUGAUCACAGAGUUAAAAGUGAUGUGUCUAAAGAUGUACAUCAUAGCACUUCACUACCAAACCUGGAAAAGGAAGGAAAAUCACGUUGUGAAAAAAAGAGCACUUCGCAUUUACCUACAUCUGUUGACAAACACUGCACAAACAGUGUUUGGUCACGUUCACAUUAUCAGGUUGGUGAGGGUAACUCAAAUGAGGAUAAUAGAAGAGGGAGAAAAGAUACUAGACAUAGCCAGUAUAGCAGAGGAACUGAUAGAAUGCGAAAAGACUUAAAUACUAGCUAUGGUGAUGGUGAACCAAGGAACAUGGAGGGUAGUCAGAGGUUACAAGGACGUCCUCAGAAAUAUGGUAAAAGUGAACCAAAGACUGAAAACAAAAAUUUAAAGUUUAAAAGUAACACAGAUUUGGAUUAUAAAAGUGAACGCAUUAGCUCUUCGUGGGAGAAAGAAACCUCUAGAGAAAGGUUACACACUCAAGUAGAAUCUCCAAGUGACAAAAAACUAGAAAGACAAAGUGAAAGAUCACAAAAUAUAAAUAGAAAAGAACUUAAAUCACAAGAUAAAGAAGAAAGAAAAGUUGAUCAAAAACCUAAGUCAGUAGUAAAGGACCAGGAUCAUUGGAGAAGAACAUCCAAUGAACGAGCAUCACUUCCUCAUUCCAAGAAUGAAAUAAAAUCUUGUCAUAAUUCAAGUAAAUACCAUCUAGAAGAGAGAAGAGGAAGGGAAGAUUGUAAAAGAGACAGGGGUGUAAGAAAUCACAGUUUUCAAGAUGGAAGAUGUCCAUCUUCUCUUUCAAGCAGUAGAACUCACAAACACAUUGACUCCAGGGAAGUUGAUGCUGUGCACCAAUGGGAAAAUAUACCUUUAAAAGUAGAAAGGCAUAGAACUGAAGAUAAGAGGGAAAGAGAACGAGAAAGCAAAGAAGAAAAUAGGCAUAUGAGAAAUAAAAGAAAAAUACCUAUGGAACAUUUACAGAAGACUAAUAAAGAAACUAAGAAAACCAGUGUUGAUUUAAAUAGACAAAAUGAGCAAAAAAAUGAUAAAGUUAAAGUCUCUAAUGAAGUUUCUGAAGGAGCAGAUAAUAAAGAGCCCACAGUGAAUGCUGAGAGUGGUCCAAAUGAAAUAAAAAACAAAGACUUAAAGUUGAGUUUUAUGGAAAAAUUGAAUUUAACUCUUUCUCCUGCUAAAAAGCAGCCUGUUUCUCAGAAUAAUCAGCAUGAAAUAACUGAUAUUCCCAAGUCCAGUGGUGUAUGUGAUCUGGAGUCCUCUGUGCAAGCUAAGACAGUGACAUGUGUUCCCUCUGUUAGUGAACAUAUCACAGAGGAAACCAAAUCAAAGUUACUAGAACCAACAGAUGCUCUUCCAACAGCAUCUGAACCCAGGAUCAAAAUGGAAGGAGAAAAUAGUUUGUUAGUUAAAUCUGUUGAGAAUGCUGUGCAUUGUGAAGUGCCCAUUUGUGGUAGAAAGACUUCAUUCUCAACACCUUUGGAAGGGGAACAAAUAGAAUCCUCGUUUCCUUCAACAGAAAUGGAACAAACUGUUAAUGAUGCAAGGGCAGCAGCUCCUGUGGUAAUGGAUGUAUUGCAAACAGAUGUUUCUCAAAACUUUGGCUCAGAAAUGGAUACCAAAAGAAAUGAUGGUUUAAAUUCUUGUAGUAUUUCUGAAGAUAUGGAAAUGAAAGUGGCUCUUUCAACAAAGGUGGCUGAAACCAGUGAAAGCAUUUUGUAUCCUUCAAUUGAAGAAGCUGGCAUUUUGCCAAUAAUUCUUUCAGAAGAUGAUAAACCAAAAUUUGAGCCUUCUCUUGUAGAUCCACCACUGGUUGAGAGUAAGUCUUGUCAUUUGGAGCCUUGUUUACCUAAAGAGGCUUUAGAAUCUUCACUUCAGCAGACUGAGUUAAUGGACAAUGGAAUAGAAAUUGGCGAAACAAACUCAGUAUAUCAGGAUGAUGAGAACUCGGUUUUAAGCAUUGACCUUAAUCACCUGAGACCUAUUCCAGAAGCCAUCAGUCCUCUGAAUAGUCCAGUGAGACCUGGAGCAAAAGUUCUUAGAAUGGAAAGCCCAUCUCAAGUCACGUUAUAUAAUAACAGUCAUAAAGAUGUAUUUCCACCAGAUUCAGCUCAUUCUACCUCCAAGAGUCAGUCUGAUCUCAAUAAGGAAAAUCAAAAGCCAAUUCACAAAUCUGACAAAUGUACAGAAGCAGAGUCCUGUAAGAAUUCAUCUUUAGAUGAAUUAGAAGAAGGAGAAAUUGUAAGCGACAGUGAAAAAUCUAAACCACAAAAAAGUUUUGGAAAAAGUGCCAAGCCUAGAGCUUCAGAAGCGCAGAACACAAAGACUAACUCAAGAAGUAGGACAAGUACUGUGCAUUUAGAUAAAGACAAAAGGAAAACAUCUGUAAAAAUCCAUCAGACCAAUAGCAAAUGGAAUAAAAAACCAAGUGAAUCUAGCAGAUCUUCAAAAACAGAGAAGAAAGAUAAAACAAUGAACACUUCCUGCUUGGAAAAAAUAGUUCCAAUUAUUGCUGUGCCCUCUUCUGUACGAGAGAUUAUGCACAUGUUACGAAUGAUAAGAAAAUAUGUAAGGAAAAAUUAUAUGAAGUUCAAGGUAAAAUUUUCAUUAAUACAAUUUCAUAGAAUUAUUGAGUCAGCAAUUUUGAGUUUUACAUCACUAAUUAAACACUUAAACUUAUCCAAAAUCUCUAAGUCAGUGACCACUUUACAGAAGAAUCUCUGUGAUGUUGUAGAAUCUAAACUUAAGCAAGUUAAAAAGAAUGGCAUAGUUGAUCGUUUAUUUGAACAGCAGCUACCAGAUAUGAAAAAAAAAUUGUGGAAGUUUGUAGAUGAACAACUUGAUUAUUUGUUUGCAAAGCUUAAGAAAAUCUUAGUAAAGUUUUGUGAUUCCAUAAACUUUGGAAGUGACAGUGAUGAAGGAAAACCUGAAAAAACAAAUACAGAGAAAGGACAAUAUUCAAAUUGUCAGAAGGGGAAUGUGGGCAACUUCAACAAAGAAAUGCUAAAAGAAAAACUGCCAAAAUCAGAAAACUCUGUUCAUUAUAAGUCUUUACUGGGAUGUAAAAAAUCUGAGGAAAAGCAUCAAGACCAAAAUAACUUCAGUAUUAACAUACUAACGCAUGACAUUAAAAAAAGUUUUAACGCCUGCUUUGAUAAUAUAAAAAACUCUCAAUCUGAAGAGCACAACUUGGAACUAAACUGUCCGAGCACUCCAAAGCCAGGAAAAACUGAAGGCAACACCACAGAGGAUGCACAGACCUCUCAGCAUGCAGCUUUGAAGCCAGAACGCAGUUUUGAGAUUCUUACUGAACAGCAGGCAUCUAGCCUUACUUUUAAUUUAGUGAGUGAUGCGCAGAUGGGUGAAAUAUUUAAAAGUUUGUUGCAAGGUUCUGAUCUUUUGGACAACAGUGUUAACUGUACUGAAAAAAGUGAGUGGGAGUUAAAGACUCCAGAGAAACAGCUGCUAGAGAGUCUUAAGUGUGAAUCAAUACCAGCUUGUACAUCAGAAGAGCUAGUUUCAGGAGUGGCUUCUCCAUGUCCUAAAAUGAUUAGUGAUGAUAAUUGGUCAUUAUUAUCAUCUGAAAAAGGUCCAUCUCUGUCUUCGGGGCUUUCGUUGCCAGUUCAUCCUGAUGUGUUAGAUGAAAGUUGUAUGUUUGAAGUGUCUACUAACAUAGCUUUAAGUAAAGAUAACGUAUGUAGUUCAGAAAAGAGCAAGCCCUGUAUUUCUUCAAUACUUCUUGAAGAUCUAGCAGUCUCCUUAACAGUACCAUCACCUCUGAAGUCAGAUGGUCAUCUCAGUUUCUUAAAGCCUGAAGUUUUGUCUAGUUCAACUCCUGAAGAAGUUAUUAGUGCCCAUUUUAGUGAAGAUGCUUUACUUGAGGAAGAGGAUGCAUCUGAGCAAGAUAUCCAUUUAGCUCUGGAGUCUGAUAAUUCAAGCAGUAAAUCAAGUUGUUCUUCAUCAUGGACAAGCCGGUCUGUUGCUCCAGGCUUUCAGUACCACCCUAAUCUACCUAUGCAUGCUGUCAUAAUGGAAAAGUCCAAUGACCACUUCAUUGUGAAAAUACGACGUGCAGCACCUUCUAACUCCCCUGGUCUUAAACAGAAUAUGGUGGCUGAUGAGUCACUGGCAUCUUUGCCCAGAGUUGGAAAGGAAGCUGAUGAAGCAGCAGAGAAAGAAUAUAUUUCAUGUCAGAACAUCAUUUUAAAAUCUGUGGAGGAGUUGGAAAAUUCCAACAAAAAUGUUGAUAGCAGUAAAUCAAGUCAUGAAGAACAGAACUCAAUGAUACAAACACAGGUUCCUGAUAUAUAUGAAUUUCUUAAAGAUGCUUCAGGUGAGGUGGUUCACAAUGAUGAAGCAGCUGAUGAAUGUUUCAAGUUGCAUCAAGUAUGGGAACCAAAAGUCCCUGAAAGCAUUGAAGAAUUGCCUUCAAUGGAAGAAAUUCCACACUCAGUCAGGGACCCUCUUCCAAACACGUACAUAGACCUAACAAAAGAUCCGGUCACCGAGACCAAGAACCUGGGGGAAUUUGUAGAAGUAACGGUUUUAAAUAUUGAUCAGUUGGGAUGUCCUAGAGGCAAUUUAGAUCAAAAUGCUGAAAUAUUAGACAAUUCUUUGCAGUCUGAUACUGUAGAUGCUUUUAUUGAUUUGACACAAGAGGCUUCAAGCGAAAGUAAAAAUGAUGGUGAUGGUCCUGAGUUAGCUGUUGAAGGCUUGGAGUGUCAGGUGAUAUGUAUAGUUGAAGAUAAUUGUAAGGAAGAAAAGGUGCAAGUGUCAAACAAGUCUUUGGAAUGCAUUGUUGAGGAAACCUACAUCGAUUUGAUUACAGAAUCUCCCAGUUCAUGUGAUAUAAAAAAGGAUGAUUUAAAAUCAGAACCCACAUCAAAUUCUGAUACUUCAGUGUUGUCUGGGACUUUGGAUAAUGCUCACAAAAAGAGGAAAAACCUUUCUGAUAUAAGUCAUUUUUCUCAGAAAAAACAAAGAAAGGAAACAGACUUAACCAUUAGGGAAAAGACCAAGAAACUUACCCAGGAUUCUGGUGAGAAUAGUGAUACUCAUCAAAAGAAAACCAAUAAGAAAAGGGCCCCUGCAGUGAAUAAAGAUCCUUCAUCAAAGACAAGCCCAGGAAUUAAGGAUUCAGCAGCAGCACUCGCCACUUCUCCUACAAUCCUUUCUGCAAAGAAUGUUAUUAAAAAGAAGGGAGAAAUUAUAGUUUCAUGGACAAGAAAUGAUGAUCGGGAAAUUUUAUUGGAAUGUCAGAAAAGAGGGCCAUCAUUAAAAACAUUUACAUAUUUAGCUCCCAAAUUGAAUAAAAAUCCAACUCAGGUCUCAGAAAGAUUCCAGCAGCUAAAGAAGCUCUUUGAAAAGUCAAAAUGCAGGUAGUUAAUGGUUACAGGAGACAAGUAGAGUAAAUGUUUGAAACUGUAAUUGUGCAGUUAAUGGCCUGUUAGUCAUUGAAGAUGUGAGUAGUGGGUGAGAGACAUCCAGUUGAGUUCCUGCUUCAGUCACAGAUUGGAGGAUGGUUGCUUAUGCAGGCACCUAAGGUCACCUCAUCCACAGGGACGUGCUCAGGGUGAAGCCUGCUGCAGUUCAGAUCAGCAUGGCAUCUCUCCUCAACCUUCUGCUUGCUGAUGAGUCUAAGAUAAAUUGCUGAAUUCCUUGGAGUCUUAAUUGAUAUUGCAUACUACACAGAAGCUUCGAAUUCCUCAUGGUCUAAAUGGGGAACUACAGGGAGGUUUUAUCAUCUUUUUGGUUACUAGAUGAUAACCUACAUUUGUUAUUACUUGCUGACUCUUUAAUCUCAAGUCAGCAUAUUCAGCUUGUUCCAGUCACCAGUCUGAUUUGCUUACCUAUUGGUCAAAGUAUUUAUUUUUAAAUAUGUUAGAACUUGUUAUCACAAUGAAAGCAGCAGUGAUUAGUAUUGAAAUCUUAGUUUUGGUAUUUCAAAGAAAUGAUUUUCUUUUCUAGAAUUUUAAAACAUGUAGCAUUUUAAAUUUAACAACUAUUUAGUUCAAGUU